rnacentral:lncRNA from 1 species
GUCAGCUCCACAUGAGAGCAAUGUCCCAGAUGAAGAGAGGACCUCUUCCCCACUCUGCUGACCCCGCUCCUGCUCCCUGGCCAAUGCAUGGCCUGGGCUUUGCACUCUCCCGCGUCCUGCUCUGCUGUCAUACCCCCGAAGGACUGGAGGCUUGGGAGAGGUGGGGAGGUGUUGCUCCCCAACGUACUCCCCGGGAAACACCUCGAAUUCAAAUUUCUGUCCCAGAAUCUAUUUCCCAGAGUGUCUGACUUCAGAGAGUUGGUACCAGAAGUGGAGUGAUCUAAGGAAGCAGACUAAAGUGGGACUCUGGAGCUUCAUCACCCACUCCCUGGGUGGCGGACAGAAGGAGGACCGGAAGCAGCUCACAUCCAUGUGGAAUGGACAACACUGUACAUUUACAGUCUCCCCCCCCGGCGUACAUUGACUCUUCUAUUCUCUGACAUAACAUAGUCUAAAGAGAUUUGGACCAUCUAGACAUUCCACAGAACAUCACGUUGCUCAACUAUAUUAAUGACUUCUCAUUAAUCCGUGAGUAACGAGCAAGAAGUAGCAAGUACCUUGGAGAUCUUGAUAAGGCCCAAGUACUCCAGAGGAUGGGAGAUAAUCCCCAUGAAGAUUCAGGGUCUUGCCACAUCCAUGUUAAUGGGUUCUGGGAACGGCCAGGACAUCCUCUCCAAAGCAAAGGGCAAAUUAUUGUAUCUUGCACCUGACACCAAGACAAAAGUACACCACCCGGAAAGCCUCUUCAGGGUCUGGAUUCAGCAUAUUUCACACAUGAGAAGAACGUGCCAAGCCAAUUCCCAAGUGUCACAAAAGAUUGCCAGCUUUGAAUGGAGCCUGGAGCAGAUAGUGCU